rnacentral:SRP_RNA from 1 species
UGCAGCCGGGGAGAUAGCGGUGCCCUGUACCUGCAAUCCGCUACAGCAGGGGUGAUGCCGAGCCGAGGCAGUUUCGCUGUGGAGCUGCCCUUCAUAAGUGGCGUUGACGUCUGGGUCUUGCGCAACGGAACUCUGUGAACCGUGUCAGGUCGGGAACGGAGCAGCACUAAGCAGAAUCUUCUGUGUGCCGCGAGGGUGCCUGGAUCGAGUUAACUGUGGAGGUAACGUCUGUGACGGGCUGUCGAAGCGAGGCGCACGG